CAGCUCACGGCAACGCCGGAUCCUUAACCCACUGAGCAAGGCCAGGGAUCGAACCCUCAACCUCAUGGUUCCUAGUCGGAUUUGUUACCACUGAGCCACAACGGGAACUUAUAAUCCUUUGAAGUUAAAUCAUUCCGAAUGUCAUUGAGGCCAGAGGUGUUGGGGGCACCUGAACUGGAUAAUUAAUUUUCUCCCCCAUUGUCUACUGAUUUAUUAAUUGUAAGUGUAGUCUUUUUUUUUUCCUGAAAGUGCUCUCUCCGGAGUCACCAGUAACCUCCACCUCAUCCCCUCUGGGAGCGUUUCUGAGUCCUUGUCUCGCUGCUUGCUCCUUGGGGGACCUUCUGGCAGUCCUUCUACUUCACAGGAAAGAAAAACCAACUCAAACUGUGGCAAACAGACUAAACUCCCACAGAAAGUCAGAAAAUAGAAACUCUUUUUCAGCUGCACCCAGUUCUUUCUACAAAGAGUGAACACGAAGGUAAGGUUUUUUUGGUUGUGAAUUUAAAAUGUGGCCUAAUAUUCAUUUUCUGUCCCGUGUGAGUGAAAUUGUGUUCUACUGGAGGAGGAAAUGUAUAUGGUUAUUGCUGCCUUUUCAGAUGAUCUGGAGCAUCUUAUUCUACUCAGAUAUCCUUGCUUCUAGAUUAUUCCAACUUCUGAAGUUCUUUGUGGAGGAUUUUGGUAUCCUACCUGUUGCAACAAUCUUUACAUUUCAUGAGAAAAUUUCUAAAGAUUUAUCCCAUCUACUUCCCCAGAGGAAACCUAAAAUACUAAAACACCUAGAGACAGAGUUUAAAAAGUACACACAGCCAAUUAAAAGAAACUGUGUAGACCAGAAGUCUGAGAUGAGUUGGUUUUUCCACUGCAGCACUAAAUUUGGCUCCGAUUUUCUGCCAACUAAUGGAAAAAAGUGAAAUGCUAGAUUAUAUGGUUCUCAUUGUUUUGUAGCACAAGCAUGUAAAUUAUUUUACAAAGAAAAAAGGUUUUAGCCACUCAAUUCUAAAAGCAAUUUCUAGAAUUCUAAUAAAAGAACUUUACAUUAGAUUUUUUAUAGAAAAUCUUUUUAUCAGAAAUGUAAUACUUAUUCAGAAAAACAAAUGUACAGCUUAUCGAAUUAUUAUGAAGUGAGCCCCCAUCUCACCACCGCCCUGUCAAAAACUAAGAAGCUCUCUUAUGCGUCUUCCUAGUCACGAAGCUCUCCUCUCCCCAAGACGUGACCAUUAUCAUGACUUUUUGAGCCAAUCAUCUUUUUCUUUUAGUUUUACCACCUAAAUAAUAUCCUGUAAUUCAGUUUUGCCUGUUUUAAGAGCUUUUGAGUGCAAUCAAUUAGGUAUUUUUGCUUUUUGCUCAACUUUGUGAGAUUUGUCCAAACUGUUUUGUGUAGCUGUAUUCACUUGUAUUGUACUCCACAUUCUAGGAAUAUACCACAAUUCGUCCAUGCAUCAGUUGAUGGACCCUUGGCUUAGUUAUUUGGUUGUUCACUGUUGUAAGAAUGCUGCUCAUAAGCAUUUUUGCCUGUGUCUUCUGAUUCAAGGACACACAUUUCGAUUGGGUCACAGGGUGACCAUCUUUUCCUCAUGUCUCUCCACACCAUCGUCCCUCUGUUGGUGUCUAUAUCCAAACUGCCCCACUUCAUAAACAUGCUAGUGGCAUUGGAAUAGGGCCCACCCUAAUGACCUUAUUUUAACCUGUUCUAUAAAGUCCCUAUCUCUAAAAAACGGGAAGUUCUAUUGUGGUGCAGCAGAAACAAAUCCGACUAGCAUCCACGAGGAUGCAGGUUCGAUCCCUGGCCUUGCUGUGCGCUGUGGUGCAGCAACUGGAACACCUGAACAUUUAUUUACUCAAAGAAGAUCCUAGAGGCUUGGGCCUUUAAGCAUGAAAGAGUUCAGUUUGGCCUAAAACCUUUACGGGUUAUUUUUGCCAAGUGGACUACCUCCGCCACAGACGCACAGUGUGUUUUGUAUAAUGUAAGAUUAUAUCACAAAAUGCCAUGCUGGCUACUUUCUUUCCCUCAUGUUUCUAUUUUCCCAAGACAAUAUUAUUCAUUUAUUGUUCUAGCUUAAUAUGUAUAUUUAUACACCAUGGCAUAUCUGCAAGAUAAAAUAAUUCAGAAUAGAGCUUCUUUAAAUCUUUGAGUUUUAGGAGUAACUAUAUAUGAUUGACCCCUGCUAGACUGGGUUUUCUUUCCCUUGGAAAACGGUUACACACAACUCUAAGGGUCCUGUGUAGUCUGCCACCCUAUCAUCUUUGAGUAAACAAAACUUCUGCUGGUGGAGGGAGUUCAGUGCCCUUGAGGAUAAGUAACUUUUUAAUUGUUCUUGGUAGGAAACUAUUCUGACAGAAUUGACCAGUAGGUUUAAUUGCUUAGGGCUUUUCCUUAAAAACCAUUAUCAUACUCACAGACUUGCAAUGACUUGAUAAAAGGGCUUUUAAAGUAUUAUUUCAAUAUGAAAGGGCUCUAGAUGACCAAGAAGAUAGACUAGACAUUUACUCAGGGUUGAAAUGACUGGAACUGGCUGCAGUCACAGGGACUUUUCUAGCUCUGGACACACAUGAGUAUAGAUUCAGUUACUGAGGCUGAGUACGAGAGCAGCCCAGCGUCUGUCACUUUGAAACAUGACUGGAAGUAAGUAGGGCAUAGGGUAAGGGAAUCUGCUAGGCUCUAGUAAAGCUAGUCUUUUUUGGCUGUCCCUGUGGCAUGCAUAUGCCUAAGUUCCCAGGGCCAGGGAUGGAACCUGCUGAGCCACCAGGGAACGCUAAGCUAGUCCUAUAUUUAAAUAUAAAGAUAAUCAUCUCCCCCUAUUUAGAGGAUCACAAAUUGACUACUAACAUGAAAAGCACUUAAGAAAAAACCUCCCAAUUUUGGAAGUCAACAUGUUAAAAUCAUUUUUUUACAAAGAGUAGUCAGGAAGAGGCAGAAGGACAGGAAAGUCUUCUCAAUCCUGUUUGUCAUUUUAAGAUGCACAACUUGCUAUGCUCCUUCUCACUAGAAAUGAAGUGACAUUAUAUACCACCAAUGCUAUUUUCAAUAAACAAAAUGAGCUUAACUCAAUAAAUAUCUUUUAUUAAAGAAAAAAAGGAAUAUUGUUAAGCACCAAAACUGUAUGUUGUUACAUUGCAUGUACAAGAAGAGAAAGGUGAUUGCAAUACUUGGUGUACAAGUACUUAACUCUGAAGUCAUGGGUGUAAAAAACAUGAAAUACAAAGCAAUACAAUAAUUACAAUGCAGAAAAGUUGCACUAAAGAGCAAAAGGCAACCGUCAAAACAAUUAUUGAAGAAUUCAUAGUAUUGCUCUAAAUGCCUGCUUAGUUUUUUUCUUUGUACUUUUAAUACUUUAGGAUAACCGAGCAUAUUUAAAUAUUGUAAAUCUGCAAGAGCUGCCAUUUACAAUACACUUCGCAUACUGUCCUUUUAGUGUGAUGGUGUUUAAGCCAUCCUGAAAAGCCAAGCACAAUGUGCUAGUGUUUUGCUUCUACCAUUAUAAUAUUGCACAAAGCUAGUAAAUGGUGAAUUGGUUUGCCAUUAAAAUUUUCAUUUUACCAGAAAGGCUAAAAAACAUGUCAGUUUCAUUGGCCCUAAUGAGCUUUAUAUUCAUGCAAAAGGAUCUGGAACCUUUGAUUUUCCAUCAACUAUAUAUUAUGGUUUCACACUUGGUAAGACAUACAGUACAGUAAGAAAUUCAAUGAAACAGUAGGGAUUCUGCCCAAGUCGAAGAAGUCAAAAAGUCACUGCAUGGGUUGUACUAUCUCCCUACCCCUCUUGGUUCAUAAAUGAAAGGAAAAUGUCAUCUUGUGAUUGUGGAGAAUUUUUGAAACCAAUAUAAUUAGUACUGGGGAAAGCCUGAAUAACUUGUUGCACUCUUUGCUAAUAAACCAUAGAACAUGCAAGUUUUUUUAAAAAACGAACUUUCUUGUUAAAAUUGAACUCUAUAACCAACACCCAUACCUUUUGUAUACAUCUAAACAUCACUUUCCACAGACUUUCCUUAACUCACCAAUUGGAGCCUCUCUUAGUCAUACCUGACCCCUCAAAUCCCCAAACUUUCCUCUAACCCUCAAAACAAAUGACUGCUUUUGAUAUUCAGUGUGCGAUAACACUGGUAAAAUAUUUAAUAUGUAAACCUCAGAGGUGUUUUCUGUACAUGCACCUUAUACUGGCAUAAUAAGUAUGUCUGGAGAAGGGGAGAGACAUUUAUGAAUUGGAAUUCAAUUAAAAGUCUUCAAAUGUGGAGUUCCCGUCGUGGCGCAGCAGGAAUGAAUCUGACUAGGAACCGUCAGGUUGCUGGUUCGAUCCCUGGCCUUGCUCAGCAGGUUAAGGAUCCGGCAUUGCUGUGAGCUGUGGUGUAGGUCGCAGACGAGGCUCGGAUCUCGCAUGGCUGUGGCUGUGACAUAGGCUGGGGGCUACAGCUUCAAUUAGACCGCUAGCCUGGGAACCUCCAUGUGUCACAGGUUCAGCCCUAAAAAGACCAAAAAAAAAGUCUUUAAAUGCCAAGCUGUACGUUUACUGUAGGUAAAACAGAAAAUUUUAGAAUGAACAUGUCUUUGCAAGAAUUUAAUGGGCAAACAUUUAAAACAUAGACACACACACAGAAUCCAGACUCCCUCUGGCCUUUAAAAAUCCGUUGCUUACAUAGAUGACAGCUUAGGCAGCAA